rnacentral:rRNA from 1 species
UACGUAGGGGGCAAGCGUUGUCCGGAAUCAUUGGGCGUAAAGCGCGUGUAGGCGGCUCUGUAAGUCCGCUCUGAAAGUCCAGGGCUCAACCCUGGGAUGCGGGUGGAUACUGCCGGGCUCGAGUCCGGAAGAGGCGAGUGGAAUUCCCGGUGUAGCGGUGAAAUGCGCAGAUAUCGGGAGGAACACCAAUGGCGAAGGCAGCUCGCUGGGACGUGACUGACGCUGAGACGCGGAAGCGUGGGGAGCAAACAGG